UAUAUAUAAAACCGAAGCUUUUGCUGGCACCACAAUUUUCCACGUCAGCACAAUAUUUAAAAAAUAAAAAAUAAAUAAAAAUUAUAACUCCUCAAAACCCUUGCAACCUUACCCCUCUCUCAAGUUAAGAAAUAUAAAGCCACAAUUUUCCACGUCAGCAUAAUAUUUAAAAAAUAAAAAAUAAAUAAAAAUUAUAACUCCUCAAAACCCUAGCAACCUUAUCCCUCUCUCAAGUUAAGAAAUAUAAAGCCACGGUUUCUACAAACUCUCUCUCUCCAGACGUAGAAAGCCCUAAAACAUUCAAGAUCUACAAAGUUCAGUUUUGUUUAUAUAUUAAUUAAUACAUAAACAGAACAAUCAGUUUGCAAGCUCUUUAUGCAAGGCCUGGAUAAGAAGGGACGCCCCAUUGUGGUUUGCUUUGGUGGCAGGCAUAAGCAGAACAAUCUAGAGGAGUUCAAGCGUUUUGUGGUCUACAGCUUAGACAAAAUAUG